UACGUAGGGUGCGAGCGUUGUCCGGAAUUACUGGGCGUAAAGAGCUUGUAGGUGGUUUGUCGCGUUGUUCGUGAAAUCUCACGGCUUAACUGUGAGCGUGCGGGCGAUACGGGCAGACUAGAGUACUGCAGGGGAGACUGGAAUUCCUGGUGUAGCGGUGGAAUGCGCAGAUAUCAGGAGGAACACCGGUGGCGAAGGCGGGUCUCUGGGCUGACACUGACGCUGAAGCGCGAAAGCUAGGGGAGCGAACGGG
rnacentral:rRNA from 1 species